CUUCAUUUUGUCCCGACAUCUGAAAGGUGGUCUGUCUCAAGUGUGCAAUCGUACGUUCAAGUUAAUAGUGUACUUGUUUUUAUAGCACACACUUAAAAACAAAUGCUACAAUGUUUGUAUGAACCAGGGAUUUAUCUGAAUUGAAUUGUUUACUAUUGGUUCUGUACGGUACCCUGGCGUACAUUAUCCCGAGACUUGUUAACUGCGAAAGUCUGUAUUGCUGGAAGCGCUUGAAGAGCGUAAUACAUUGUAUAUACAGUAUUGCUGAAAUACAGCUGUAUCGAAAGCGGGUUUGAAAUAUAUUUGCCUACUAGUUUGUCAGGUUAAACUACGUGUUCGGGCAAACUUGAAAGUACACUAGACCACAAAAAGAAGACAGAAGGGGCUGUACUUGAUAAUUAUGUGUAUGGACGCAAUGGAGGUUAAAAUCGAACCGAAAGUAGCCCAACCGUGCUCUUGCCAGAAAAAGAGAUUCGCAAAAUGGAAGCCCAGGAAGUGUUUUAGUGGCGGCGGUCAGAAAAGCUUAAUAAAAUGGAAGCGUGACUCUACCCAGGCAUCAAGAAAAUACCGACGACAAGGCCUCUGUCAGGCGGGGAAACACAGACACGGAAACCGAAGGCUUUUUAUCGACAACAGUGCUGAUUACAAUCAUUUGCGACCCGGCAAUGGCCGGCACGUUCCAGGUAUGCAAGCUCCUAGAAACACUACGCAGUAUCUUAUGCAUCUUGUUUACCAGGAUCUCGUAAACGAUUCUGUUAAAGGACAUGAUUCCGGAUUUGAAAGCGCUUAUAGUCGUGUUGCAAAUGACUUUGAUGACUCUCAAUAUAUGGGACCGGAAAUGCUUUACUACGAGACUGCCUCUUCUCAAAGCAUUUGUCAAUCAAACAUCGAUUUGGAAAAGACUCAUGACAUUCUACGGUGCGAUUUUGAAAACAUCUUUAAUGUUUCAUGGGUCGAAAAUAUGAAGUUCCAGCUGAACUGAUAACCCAUCGAUUUACUUUUUUUUCUUAAGACUACGGCCAUUGAGUGAAUCUGAAGCAGCCUGUCUGCAGAGCCGCUCUCAUCCUUGAACCUUGCAACCUGCAGACCUCAACCUCCGGAGUCUGAGAAUUCAGAUCUGCAGUUGGUAUCUGGUGUGGUCUCCAGGUAAAUGUGCCAGCUGAGAAUACAGGCACCAUCACUGUUGACAUCGCUGCUACAGAGGAGUGAAUGACGACCCAGGAGAAUGAAUACCAGCAGCACAACACACACCUGAACUGCAAGGCCCUACUAUAUGUUAACUAUUAGUGGCCUUGUUGGAAGGCAAUUUGUAGAGCAGGGGGGCUGAAAGCAGCGUGUGUUUGGAACCAGAUAGAGUGCUGCUUGGAGUGGGAGUAAGUGCUAUUCAUGUCCUCUUUUCUACAGGAACUACAGCACGGUGUCAGUGAGGGUGUGAAGGAGGUAGAAGAUAUUAUUGUGUUUGUGACUGUUUCCACCAGGGCCUGGAGGCGAUCAAGCAGACUGUGGCUAUUAUGUUAAUUACAUAUCCAUACCAGCGAUAUGAACAGGACAGAGCAUACAACGGAUGGUUUACAGGAUUGGAUAUUGAGGCCUCCAAGGGACCAGGUGAUAUUGUUAUAUCAUUUUUCCAUACAUACCUGUUGAAGAGGAGAGACUGCUACUGUGGGACAGAUAGAGAUGAGGAUUUGCUUUUUAGGUUUUACGACUUUUAGUGUCUCCUUGUCUAUCUGUGAAAUGUCUAUUAUGUUUAGCGUGUGUUAAUAAAAAUUCUUG